CGAAAACGAAAGCAGGCAAUGGCGUAUUCUGUCUUCGGUGUCCUGAGAGGUUUAUUCUGGGAUGCAGCCCAUGGCGUUGAGCAAAGUUGACUCUGGCUGUGUUGAAGAACAGCGUGAAGGAGGAACAAAAGGAAUCCGUGAGGAUUGUUUACCUGACAACAUAAUCAUACCAACCCAAAGGCAUGGAGUAGUUCCAAGUCAGGAGAAAAGUGGGUGAACACAGUGAGAACCUCAACAGAGAUAAAAGACAUAAGGAAGGAACAAGCAGACUUCACAGAGCUGAAGAACACAACAGCUGAACUGAAAAGAUGAACUAGAACACGUCCACAGCAGAGGAAGUAGAAGAAUGAUCAGUGACCUGGAAGACAGAGAGGAGAGGAAGGGGUAGAAAACGUAUACGAAGAAGUAAAGG